rnacentral:rRNA from 1 species
AUGGUAGCAUCAGAAAUAGCUGCCGUUUUCUUUCUGUUCAAUGCCUUGUUGAGAGGUUCUUUGGUUCAAAGCCAAGGGCUGCAGAGAGGAUUCUACGACUCCAGCUGCCCUGAUGCAGAGGAUAUCGUGAGGUCUACUGUCGAGAAGUACUACAACAACGACGCCACCAUUGCCCCGGGCUUGCUCAGGCUGCACUUCCAUGACUGUUUUGUCCAAGGGUGUGAUGCUUCUGUUCUGAUUUCUGGAGCAUCAUCCGAGAGGAGUGCGCCACAGAACUUCGGUCUCAGGGGAUUCGAGGUGAUAGACGACGCCAAGUCCCAGCUGGAAUCAACGUGCCCUGGGGCGGUGUCCUGCGCCGACAUACUGGCCCUGGCCGCACGUGAUUCCGUGGAUCUGACCGGCGGGCCAAGCUGGCCAGUGCCUCUGGGACGAAGAGACGGGAGGAUCUCAUCAGCCGCAGACGCCAAGGCCCUGCCGUCUCCGGCCGACCCCGUGUCCGUCCAGCGGCAAAAGUUCGCAGACCAGGGCCUGUCCGACCACGAUCUCGUCACACUAGUCGGCGCGCACACGAUCGGGCAGACGGACUGCGCGUUCGUGCGGUACCGGCUGUACAACUUCACGGCGACGGGGAACGCGGACCCGUCGAUCAGCCCGGCGUUCCUGCCGCAGCUGCGGGCGCUGUGCCCGCCGAACGGAGACCCGGCGCGGCGGGUGGCGCUGGACAGGGACGGCGCGGGGGCCUUCGACGCGGCCUUCUUCAAGAACGUGAGGGACGGCAACGCCGCGCUGGAGUCGGACCAGCGGCUGUGGGGCGACGACGCCACGCAGGGGGUGGUGCAGAAGUACGCCGGCAACAUCCGGGGGCUCUUCGGGCUGCGCUUCACCUACGAGUUCCCCAAGGCCAUGGUCAGCCUGGGCGGCGUCGCCGUCAAGACGGGGAGGCAGGGCGAGAUCAGGAGGAAGUGCUCCAGGUUCAACUGA